rnacentral:rRNA from 1 species
CGUAAAGUAAUCUACCUCUGGGUGGGGAAUAACAGUCGGAAACGACUGCUAAUACCGCAUAAUGCAGCGGCUCCUUAUGGAGACAGUUGUUAAAGUAUUUAUAUGCCUAGAGAGGAGCUUGCGGCAGAUUAGCUAGUUGGUAAGGUAAUGGCUUACCAAGGCAACGAUUCGUAGCUGGUCUGAGAGGACGGCCAGCCACACUGGAACUGAGACACGGUCCAG